rnacentral:rRNA from 1 species
CAUGGUAGAUAUAUCAAAGAUUUAUCGCUUAGAGAUGGACUCGCGUCCGAUUAGUUAGUUGGUGAGGUAACGGCUCACCAAGACCGCGAUCGGUAGCCGGACUGAGAGGUUGAACGGCCACAUUGGGACUGAGACACGGCCCAGACUCCUACGGGAGGCAGCAGUGGGGGAUAUUGCGCAAUGGGGGAAACCCUGACGCAGCAACGCCGCGUGAAGGAUGAAGGUCUUCGGAUUGUAAACUUCUUUUAUUAAGGACGAAGAAAGUGACGGUACUUAAUGAAUAAGCUCCGGCUAACUACGUGCCAGCAGCCGCGGUAAUACGUAGGGAGCAAGCGUUGUCCGGAUUUACUGGGUGUAAAGGGUGCGUAGGCGGCUUUGCAAGUCAGAUGUGAAAUCUAUGGGCUCAACCCAUAGCCUGCAUUUGAAACUGCAGAGCUUGAGUGAAGUAGAGGCAGGCGGAAUUCCCCGUGUAGCGGUGAAAUGCGUAGAGAUGGGGAGGAACACCAGUGGCGAAGGCGGCCUGCUGGGCUUUAACUGACGCUGAGGCACGAAAGCGUGGGUAGCAAACAGGAUUAGAUACCCUGGUAGUCCACGCUGUAAACGAUGAAUACGAGGUGUGGGGGGUCUGACCCCUUCCGUGCCGGAG